rnacentral:lncRNA from 1 species
AAUGCAUUUAACAAAGAGUUUAUAGAGCAUUAAUUAUACGCUAGACAAUUGGUUAAAAUAGAUAUACAUUGUUAAAAAGCAGAAGCCUUAUUCUGGGGAUGUUUGGGGACGGAGAUUGGACCACAAACAACACUCACACGCUGAAGUUCAUACUUGAAAUUCCCUAUGCUUGGUUUUCACAUGCAUCGCAUGUAGCAUGCAAAACUCAGGGAAACACAGAUAUCCAUUUUAGCACACUGCCAUUGGUUAACUGCACAGUUAUCAGUAAGCAAUAUGAUGGUGUGAAUGUGUGCUCUUAAUAAUUGCCACCAUUUCCCAUGGAGUGAGCAUGUAUUUAUUUACUACAUUAUUACUGAAAAAAAAGUCUGUGACUUUCUGGUAACUAUGUAAUUAACUUGUACCUCACUAUGUUAUUGUAGCUUAAACUGCAUCUGGUGACUUCUAAAGAGUUGUUAGGAACAAUGCAGACCAUGCUUUGUGGUUCUGUCCAAGAGAAUGCUUAUGUGUUGAGCAUAUUUGUAGUUGAUUAUUUUUGAGCCAACUGUUGACUGCACAGCCUUCAGCACUCAAUGGGCUGUAAUAAAUACUAGGAAACGAGUGAAUGAAGGAAUGAAUGGGUAGCUGAAGGAAAAUAAGCUGACUUAAACUGCUACAAUUUAUUGAGUGCUUAUUUGCAUGCCAGAAACACUUAAUACAAGUAGAAAGAAAAUAUGAAUACAAACAUAAAAAGCCAGAAUCAUGGAAAAUAGGGAUGCUGAGAAGAUAGAAAAACAGAGGAUAAGUUGGGAAUGAUGCAGAUGUAACCACCUGACAGGUUCUUCUUGCCCAUUGCACAGACAAACCAAUUCACUGAGACUUGGUGGUUGCAGUAGAGAAAGAGUUUAAUUAAUGCAAGGCUGGGCAAGUGGAAGGACUGGAGUUAUUACUCAA